rnacentral:rRNA from 1 species
GACGAGGUGCACAAACGUUAUUCGGAAUUACUGGGCUUAAAGCGUGCGUAGGCGGCCUAGCAAGUCGGGUGUGAAAGCCCUCGGCUCAACCGAGGAAUUGCGCCCGAAACUGCUGGGCUUGAGUGAGACAGAGGUGAGCGGAACUGAUGGUGGAGCGGUGAAAUGCGUUGAUAUCAUCAGGAACACCGGUGGCGAAGGCGGCUCACUGGGUCUCAACUGGCGCUGAGGUACGAAAGCCAGGGUAGCGAACGGG